CCUACGGGAGGCAGCAGUGAGGAAUACCGGUCAAUGGGCGCGAGCCUGAACCAGCCAAGUAGCGUGAAGGAUGACUGCCCUACGGGUUGUAAACCUCUUUUAUACAGGAAUAAAGUGAGGCACGUGUGCCUGUUUGCAUGUACUUUAUGAAUAAGGAUCGGCUAACUCCGUGCCAGCAGCCGCGGUAAUACGGGGGGUCCGGGCGUUAUCCGGAUUUAUUGGGUUUAAAGGGAGCGUAGAUGGGUUGUUAAGUCAGUCGUGAAAGUUUGCGGCUCAACCGUAAAAGUGCGAUUGGUACUGGCGGCCUUGAGUACAGUUGAGGUAGGCGGAAUUCGUGGUGUAGCGGUGAAAUGCUUAGAUAUCACGAAGAACUCCGAUUGCGAAGGCAGCAUACCGGCGCCCAACUGACGCUGAAGCACGAAAGCGUGGGUAUCGAACAGGAUUAGAUACCCUUGUAGUC
rnacentral:rRNA from 1 species